AAUGGCCUAACGGCUGAACCAGCAAUUUGGAAGAACGUAUAGUAAUAUCUAGUUACAUUGGUCGUAAUAUCGACAAUGUCGAAUAAAGUUCUAGAUAAAUUUAUGAUAAUGACAUUAUUUAUCUAUGUGUCUUGACCAAACUACGUGCCAGCAGUCGCGGUAAGACGUUAAAGACUAGCGUUAUUCAUAUUUAUUGGGUUUAAAGGGUACCUAGACGGUAAAUAAAGCCUUUAGGUACUAAUUUACUAGAGUUACUUACGAGGGAGCAUUAAAGUACUGAUGGUGUAGAGAUAAAAUUCUGUAAUACCUUUUUUCUUAGGAAAGUAACGGCACAGAUAUAGGCGAAAGCAUCUCCUUAUGUGAUAGCUUUGUAUAGCAAAAAGGAUUAGAUACCCUUGUAGUCAAAGCAGAAAAUGAUGAGUGUCAUAGAUUAAUUUAUUCUAUAAAUGAAAGUGUAAGCACUCCACCUCAAGAGUAAUUUGGCAACAUUGGAACUGAAAUCAUUAGACCGUUUCUGAAACCAGCAGUGAAGUAUGUUGUUUAAUUUGAUAAUCCGCAAAAAACCUUACCAUGAAUAUUUACAAGCGUUGCACGGCUGUCUUCAGUUAAUGUCGCGAGACUAUGGUUGGCUCCAUUAAAUUAACGUAAACCCUUGCUUUAUUUUUAAAUAAAGUAGUUCUCCACUAUAUUGGAUAAGAUAACAGGGACUAAGACAAGUCAUCAUGGCCUAAAUGUU
rnacentral:rRNA from 1 species